rnacentral:rRNA from 1 species
CCUACGGGUGGCAGCAGUGGGGAAUAUUGCACAAUGGGGGGAACCCUGAUGCAGCGACGCCGCGUGAGUGAAGAAGUCUUUCUGUAUGUAAAGCUCUAUCAGCAGGGAAGAAAAUGACGGUACCUGACUAGGAAUCCCCGGCUACCUACGUGCCAGCCGCCGCGGUACUACGUAGGGGGCAGGCGUUGUCCGGAUGUACUGGGUGUAAAGGGAGCGCAGACGGCUGUGCAAGUCAGGAGUGAAAGGCGGGGGCCCAACCCCCGGACUGCUCUGGAAACUGUAAAGCUGGAGUGCAGGAGAGGUAAGCGGAAUUCCUAGUGUAGCGGUGAAAUGCGUAGAUAUUAGGAGGAACACCAGUGGCGAAGGCGGCUUACUGGACUGCAACUGACGUUGAGGCUCGAAAGCGUGGGGAGCAAACAGGAUUAGAUACCCGGGUAGUC